AGGUUCCAUGUGAACGACACUUGCACAUGGGUUAGUCGAUCCUAAGAGACGGGGGAAGCCCAUCAGACAGCGAUCAGCGCGAGCUUCGAAAGGGAAUCGGGUUAAAAUUCUUGAACCGGGACGCGGCAGUUGACGGCAACGUUAGGGAGUCCGGAGAUGUCGUCGAGGGCCCCAGGAAGAGUUAUCUUUUCUGUUUAACGGCCUGCCCACCCUGGAAUCGGCUCAGUCGGAGGUAGGGUCCAGGGAGUCCGGAGACGUCGGCGGGGGCCCCAGGAAGAGUUAUCUUUUCUGUUUAACGGCCUGCCCACCCUGGAAUCGGCUCAGUCGGAGGUAGGGUCCAGCGGCCGGAAGAGCACCGCACGUCACGUGGUGUCCGGUGCACCCCCGACGGCCCUUGAAAAUCCGGAGGACCGAGUGCYGAUCGCGCCCGGUCGUACUCAUAGUCAAUUGGA
rnacentral:ncRNA from 1 species